CGGAUUCCGUAUACGCCGGUGUAAUGGUCCCAACCGUAAUAGAGUAUAGUCGGACGCGAAUAUUCAAAUCAGGUAAACCGAACGAUCGUUUGCGCUGCGUCAUCCGUUCGCCCUCUCGUAUAGUAAACCAUUUUAAACGGUCAAUAUAAAAACUACCCACGCGCAUAUUAUUUUUGUACGAGGUAAAUAGUAUUACGUUUGCGUGUGUAUA